rfam:Sphingomonadales bacterium BRH_c42 BRHa_1006724, whole genome shotgun sequence.
CAGGCGGGCCGGGCCCCUCUGGCGCGGCAUCCUUGGGUGAAAACCCUGAAGGGUGCGGCGUGAUGUCGGACCGCAUCG